CCUCUGCUUACAAGUGAACAAGAUGAGGAAAUCGCAGCUGGAAGUGGUUGAGAAAGGAUUUAUAAUCUUCAGCAGAGGUAAGAUAUUCUGUGUACUUUAUUGCUGACACUUGAAUAUAUUCUUCAUUUACCUAAAUUGCAUGUAAACAAUAUAGAAAUAUCCUAAUGAAAAGAAAAUGAAAGCAGCAUUUACAAGCUAUAUUGCAUAUUUUUCAGACACUGAAACAUACAAAUUGGCAUAAAAUAAUCACUGACUGCAGCAGUACAUAUUUUAAUUAGGGCAAAGUCUUAUACUGAUCACAUCACUGAUGUUAUAUGAUGACAUUAUAUAUAGAGAGACAGAAAAGAGAGCACACAUAUACACACUUUAUAUGUACACUCACACAUAUGUUUAUAUUUAUAAUAUAUUUUACCAGAAAGGAUACAUUGAGAUUUCUGUGAUAAAUAGAUAGAUAGAUAGAUAGAUAGAUAGAUAGAUAGAUAGAUAGGAUCAUGUAUACAACUAAGACAAGCACUGAAUAUAGAUGUCAAAGAACCUAUUUGCAUAGCAUCCAGUGUGAUUAACUGAAAGCAAAUCAAUGUACACAUGCAUCAUUCAAAGUAGGCAAUGUACAAGUUCCAUUAAUUCCAGACAUUAUCAUCGCAUAGUACAGGAGAUGUGCACUUCACCACCUUUGCUGCAAGCUAGCGAGCUAUGUAAACAGUAUGAAAUGCUGGCAACCGACAGGCUAAGAAUCAGGUAAUACUAAAACAAUAUCUACACCAGCUUCAUAGAAAUGUCAUGUGUUUGGCAGCAUUUAGGAGGGGGAGAGAAAAAAAUCUCAAAGAUGAAUAGCAGGAUUUUUCACAUACAUGCACAUGAAAUUAUUUGCAUACACACACACACACACACAUAUAUAUAUAUACAUACAUACACACACACAUAUAUACUCACUCACACACGCACUUUGUUAAUACACUGUAUGCUUACAUAUAAACAUUUUAAGUAAUAUUGUUCUCAUUUUGUAAGGAACCUAGUUGAACCUAUAGCUAACAUGUCUUUCAUUUAAAAGGUACACAACUAUAAUCCAAGUCCUGCCAAUUGCCGUUUACAGGAUGAAUUGAAUGGGAUUUCUGCAAGUCGACUACCCAAGAAAUUGCACUCUACUUCGAUAGCCUCUAAGCCUGAAGACACAAG